rnacentral:lncRNA from 1 species
GGAAAACAGAUUCAGUACAAAGCUCCCUCCUUUUUUCCCCUAGAGCCACACAAAAACUCGGAAGUGAGGGUGGGAUGUAGCAGCACGUGACCAAAUCAACCAACACGCCAAAGUGCAGCCUGUGGUUCCACACCAAUGAAAGAAGGGCAGGGUUUUUCCCUGGCAUCUGGCGCCGGGCACCCGGCAGCCUCACACUGUGGCAUGCGAGGGACUGCGAGACUGCACUUCUGGGGUGUGCGGCAGGGGACGGAGGGCACAGCGCACAGCGCGGCACUCGGUGUGCAGGAUGGCAAAGAAAACGAGCCUAAAGAAAGCAAGAAAAUGUACAUUGCUAACGAGUCCUCACAACCCCCUACCGUCAUCAUGACUGGGGGCUCUGAAGCCUAGUUGGAUGAGAUCGUUGGGCCAAGUGCCUAGCACAGGAAAAAAAGAAAAGAUGACUUUAUAGGAGAAAUAAUGGUGAUAAUCUAGGAACCAUUUCGAGAUCAUUGGAAAAUUGAGAACAUAGGUGCAUCUGUUCAAGAGGCAAGCACUGAAAGACACAGCCUGAUGAUUUUUUAGUAAGUAUGGAAAUGGAUCCAUAUGGGGUUAGAUGAAGAAAGGGAACGCUGAG